rnacentral:rRNA from 1 species
AGUCGGUGAGGUAACCUUUGGAGCCAGCCGCCGAAGGUGGGACAGAUGAUUGGGGUGAAGUCGUAACAAGGUAGCCGUAGGUGAACCUGCGGCUGGAUCACCUCCUUUCUAAGGA